UACGUAGGGUCCAAGCGUUAAUCGGAAUUACUGGGCGUAAAGCGUGCGCAGGCGGUCGUUCAAGUCGCGUGUGAAAGCCCCCGGCUCAACUGGGGAGGGUCACUUGAUACUGAUCGACUGGAAGGCAGGAGAGGGAAGCGGAAUUCCCGGUGUAGUGGUGAAAUGCGUAGAUAUCGGGAGGAACACCAGUGGCGAAGGCGGCUUCCUGGCCUGUUCUUGACGCUGAGGCGCGAAAGCUAGGGGAGCAAACGGG
rnacentral:rRNA from 1 species